AUUGAACGCUGGCGGCAUGCCUUACACAUGCAAGUCGAGCGGCAGCGGGAAAGUAGCUUGCUACUUUUGCCGGCGAGCGGCGGACGGGUGAGUAAUGCCUGGGAAAUUGCCCAGUCGAGGGGGAUAACAGUUGGAAACGACUGCUAAUACCGCAUACGCCCUACGGGGGAAAGCAGGGGACCUUCGGGCCUUGCGCGAUUGGAUAUGCCCAGGUGGGAUUAGCUAGUUGGUGAGGUAAUGGCUCACCAAGGCGACGAUCCCUAGCUGGUCUGAGAGGAUGAUCAGCCACACUGGAACUGAGACACGGUCCAGACUCCUACGGGAGGCAGCAGUGGGGAAUAUUGCACAAUGGGGGAAACCCUGAUGCAGCCAUGCCGCGUGUGUGAAGAAGGCCUUCGGGUUGUAAAGCACUUUCAGCGAGGAGGAAAGGUUGAUGCCUAAUACGUAUCAACUGUGACGUUGCUCGCAGAAGAAGCACCGGCUAACUCCGUGCCAGCCGCCGCAGUAAUAC
rnacentral:rRNA from 1 species